rnacentral:rRNA from 1 species
AUUGAACGCUGGCGGCAUGCCUAACACAUGCAAGUCGAACGGCAGCACAGCAGUAGCAAUACUGUGGGUGGCGAGUGGCGGACGGGGUGAGGAAUACGUCGGAAUCUGCCCAGUCGUGGGGGAUAACUAGCCGAAAGGUUAGCUAAUACCGCAUACGACCGAGAGGUGAAAGCGGGGGGACCGCAAGGCCUCGCGCGAUUGGAUGAGCCGACGUCGGAUUAGCUAGUUGGCGGGGUAAAGGCCCACCAAGGCGACGAUCCGUAGCUGGUCUGAGAGGAUGAUCAGCCACACUGGAACUGAGACACGGUCCAGACUCCUACGGGAGGCAGCAGUGGGGAAUAUUGGACAAUGGGCGCAAGCCUGAUCCAGCAAUGCCGCGUGUGUGAAGAAGGCCUCGG